UUACGGCUAUAUCACAUUGAAACACAGGUUCUCAUACAAUCACUGAAUCUAAGCAACGUCAAACUGGGUCAGUACCUAGAUGGGUGACCACUUGAGAAUACCAGGUGCUGUAAG